AGCACAUGGAUAAUGGUUGCCAUGACUCAUCAAAGCAUGCAAAGGGGGAAGUGACAUCACAAAUGGGCCUCACUCCCCACACAAGAGAACACCUAGAAACACCUGAGGAACAAGGACUGACCUGGAGGAAGGAAGCCUGCCCCUUUGUGAAACCUUGGUGGACUGUUAAUACUACCUACCAGGCUGCGUAUCAGGCUGAAUGCUUUGGGGAUUUGUCUAUUCUCUGCAACAAAAGGCUAAAACUCCUUCCUGGUCAAUAUGUUACUGCACCUGGAUCAUCUGCUACAACUCUAAUAUAAUAUUGCUCCUGAUAUUAUAGAAGACUCUGGAAAAAGGAGUAAUAUGCUGAAAUUCUAUUAAGAACUAGUUUUUGUAACGGAGAUUAAUGAAACAGUAAAAAAAAAAAAGGAGAAAGAAGAUUAUGGUCUCGUGUGGUGAGAAACAUACUGGUAGUACUAAUCAAGCAGAGAGCAUUUGAAGAUGAUGGAAAAAAUGCAGAACAAAAAAUGAAGAAUUCAGCCAUUUCAAGACACAAAAAGAAACUGGCAGAAGUGAGGGAAGGAAACUACAGAGGAAAUUUGUUCCAAGCCUUGAUGCAUUGUUCAAAAGCCAAAGAGAACCAAUGAGCAAUGAGAUUUUUUCCAGGCUUCUUGAUGAACCAAAUUCAGUUGCUUACUGUUAAACAGAUACCGUCAGUGCAUUUUAGCUCACCGAAUGUCCCUGUUUUAAUGAAAGAAGGAUCAAAGAUAACCCGCAAAAGGAAAAGGCAAGCUACAAGAGUAAUAUAUUUCCAAAGAGAAGGAAAAAAGAUAAUAGGACUGAAAGCUUUACAGGGAAGACUGUGAAUGAUUAAUUAGUCUCCAGUAACUAGAAGUAUCGCUGAUGACCUGCUAUGCUCAGAACAAUAAUGGAAUAAAAGUGUGUGCAUUGUACAAAGA